rnacentral:misc_RNA from 1 species
GAUGAAGAACGUAGCGAAAUGCGAUAAGUAAUGUGAAUUGCAGAAUUCAGUGAAUCAUCGAAUCUUUGAACGCACCUUGCGCCCUUUGGCUAUUCCGAAGGGCAUGCCUGUUUGAGUAUCAUGGACAUCUCAACUCCUCACGGUUCGCCCGUGACGAGCUUGGACUUUGGGGGUCUUGCCGGCCUGCGGGUCGGCUCCUCUCAAAUGAAUCAGCUUGCCGGUGUUUGGUGGCGUCACAGGUGUGAUAAAUAUCUACGCUUGUGGUUUUCCGCCAGGUAACCUCCAGCGAUGGGGGUUCACUGGAGCUCACGAAUGUCUCUCCUCGGUGAGGACAGCUCUUUGAACGUUUGAUCUCAAAUCAGGUAGGGCUACCCGCUGAACUUAAGCAUAUCAAUAAGCGGAGGA